rnacentral:rRNA from 1 species
GACGAACGCUGGCGGCGUGCUUAACACAUGCAAGUCGAACGGAAAGGCCCUGCUUGCAGGGUACUCGAGUGGCGAACGGGUGAGUAACACGUGGGUGAUCUGCCCUGCACUUCGGGAUAAGCCUGGGAAACUGGGUCUAAUACCGGAGAGGAGCCAUUUUUAGUGUGAUGGUUGGAAAGUUUUUUCGGUGUAGGAUGAGCUCGCGGCCUAUCAGCUUGUUGGUGGGGUAAUGGCCUACCAGGGCGGCGACGGGUAGCCGGCCUGAGAGGGUGGACGGCCACAUUGGGACUGAGAUACGGCCCAGACUCCUACGGGAGGCAGCAGUGGGGAAUAUUGCACAAUGGGCGCAAGCCUGAUGCAGCGACGCCGCGUGGGGGAUGACGGCCUUCGGGUUGUAAACUCCUUUCGCUAGGGACGAAGCUUUUUGUGACGGUACCUAGAUAAGAAGCACCGGCUAACUACGUG